UGAAUACGAGACGCUAAGGCGUCGAAGUAGUGUAUGUCAUACUUCCAAGAAAAGCUUGCACUGUCAUAGAUAAAAACGCCUGUACCAUAACCGACACAGGUGGGUAGGUAGAGUAUACUAAGGGGCGCGAGAUAACUCUCUCUAAGGAACUCGGCAAAAUAACUCCGUAACUUCGGGAGAAGGAGUGCCUUAUUCGUAAGGUUGUAAUAACAAGAUCCAAGCAACUGUUUAUCAAAAACACAGGUCUCCGCUAAGUCGUAAGACGAUGUAUGGGGGCUGACGCCUGCCCAGUGCCAGAAGGUUAAAGAAGUUGGUUAGCAAUUGCGAAGCUGAUAACUGAAGCCCUGGUGAACGGCGGCCGUAACAAUAACGGUCCUAAGGUAGCGAAAUUCCUUGUCGGGUAAGUUCCGACCCGCACGAAAGGCGUAAUGAUUUGGAUACUGUCUCGGAGAGGGGCUCGGUGAAAUAGACUUGUCUGUGAAGAUGCGGACUACCUGCACCAGGACAGAAAGACCCUAUGAAGCUUUACUGUAACUUGAAAUUGAAAUUGGACUUUAUUCGCGCAGUAUAGGUGGGAGGCGUUGAUUAUAAUCUUGUGGGAUUAUUGGAGCCAUCAGUGAGAUACCACUCUUGUAAUGUUAGAUUUCUAACUUUGAAUCAUUAUCUGGUCAAAGAACAGUUUCAGGCGGGCAGUUUGACUGGGGCGGUCGCCUCCUAAACGGUAACGGAGGCGUACAAAGGUUUCCUCUGAACGGUUAGAAAUCGUAUCUAGAGUGUAAAGGCAUAAGGAAGCUUGACUGUGAGACCUACAAGUCGAGCAGGGACGAAAGUCGGUCUUAGUGAUCUGACGGUACUGAGUGGAAAGGCCGUCACUCAACGGAUAAAAGUUACUCUAAGGAUAACAGGCUGAUCUCCCCCAAGAGUUCACAUCGACGGGGAGGUUUGGCACCUCGAUGUCGGCUCAUCGCAUCCUGGGGCGGUAGUACGUCCCAAGGGUUGGGCUGUUCGCCCAUGAAAGAGGUACGCGAGCUGGGUUCAGAACGUCGUGAGACAGUUCGGUCCAUAUCCGGUGUAGGCGUUAGAAUAUUGAGAGGAGCCUUCUUUAGUACGAGAGGACCGAGAAGGACAUACCUCUGGUGUACCAGUUAUCGUGCCAACGGUAAACGCUGGGUAGCUAUGUAUGGAGUGGAUAACCGCUGAAAGCAUCUAAGUGGGAAGCCCACCUCAAGAUAAGUAUUCUCAU
rnacentral:rRNA from 1 species